UCUCGUGUCGGAGACCUCCAGCAAGGGUCGGGUCUUUGCGGGGGCUGCUGUGCGGGAUGCCGAUGCGAUACGGACACCUGCCCUCUGGGAGUCGCGGUGGGGCUUCCUGUGCAGUUCAGCUGUCAAAGAACUUCCUGACACAUCUGUUAAAGGCCUCUCUGAAGGGUGACGCUUUUAAUGCAAGUUUCUACGAGGACAGGGCUGUGGGAAGAUGCUGAUGUUUGCUGCUGAAGUCCGUUGUUUCCCCAGCAUGGUUUUAGGGCUGCAGGGGAGAGACCUCCGAGGAGAUGGCUCCCAGACGUUGUAUUCCUCCUGAUCCUGCACAGAAACAACAAUGCUGAGUCUGUGACAGCAGUGGUACUCAUAGCUACAGUCAGUGACCUUUACCCAGCCGUGCCCGAGUGCCUCACCUUGCAAGGUCGGAGAGAUCCCUUUUACAAAUGGGAAGCUGAGAAACAGGUAAGGUCACUCGCCCGGGAUCACACGGGAAUGCUGUGGCAAAAAGGAGAAUCAAGACUGAGUCUCCUGAGUCCUAGGUCAGUGCCCAAAACCAAUACUUGCACUAUUACACCAUGUGAAAGCGACAUGUGAGAUCUUAAUGAAGGACAGAUCAUUUAAGAUGAUGCUAAAACUGUUGAAGUCGCAUGCUUAAAUCUAAGCAUUCCUAAGAGUUUUACUGAGCACAAGUGGAGAUAAGUAUGUUCAGUGCUCUCCUGAAACAAAAUCUGAAUGAGGAAAUGGCUAGUUGCGUGCAUAUGACUGCUGAUAGCAAAUGGCCUUCAUGCAGUUUCUGAAGGAACUGGAGGAACUUUCUAAUUAAAAAACAAACAAACAAACAAACACCCAAACAAACCCCAAAACAAAAAACAGAGGCUUAUUAGAGCAGGCCGGUAUCCUACACAGACCUAUUUUGCUGUGGCCAGAAGAUCAAGGAGUCUCAGUAUGGGCAACUGCAAAAUAAUUGGGGUAAUUUGGCUCCUGCUUACUAUUGAUCAGAAACUGCCUAAAU
rnacentral:lncRNA from 1 species